GAUGAACGCUGGCGGCGUGCCUAACACAUGCAAGUCGAGCGAUCUUCUUCGGAAGAGAGCGGCGGACGGGUGAGUAACGCGUGGGUAACCUGCCUCAUACACAUGGAUAACAUACCGAAAGGUAUGCUAAUACAAGAUGAUAUAAGAGAUUCGCAUGGAUUUCUUAUCAAAGCUCCGGCGGUAUGAGAUGGACCCGCGUCUGAUUAGCUAGUUGGUAAGGUAACGGCUUACCAAGGCGACGAUCAGUAGCCGACCUGAGAGGGUGAUCGGCCACAUUGGAACUGAGACACGGUCCAAACUCCUACGGGAGGCAGCAGUGGGGAAUAUUGCACAAUGGGCGAAAGCCUGAUGCAGCAACGCCGCGUGAGCGAUGAAGGCCUUCGGGUCGUAAAGCUCUGUCCUCAAGGAAGAUAAUGACAGUACUUGAGGAGGAAGCCCCGGCUAACUACGUGCCAGCAGCCGCGGUAAUACGUAGGGGGCUAGCGUUAUCCGGAUUUGCUGGGCGUAAAGGGUGCGUAGGUGGUUUCUUAAGUCAGGAGUGAAAGGCUACGGCUCAACCGUAGUAAGCUCUUGAAACUGGGAAACUUGAGUGCAGGAGAGGAAAGUGGAAUUCCUAGUGUAGCGGUGAAAUGCGUAGAUAUUAGGAGGAACACCAGUAGCGAAGGC
rnacentral:rRNA from 1 species